GAUGAGCAUGCGUCCCAUUAGCUAGUUGGUAAGGUAACGGCUUACCAAGGCUACGAUGGGUAGGGGUCCUGAGAGGGAGAUCCCCCACACUGGUACUGAGACACGGACCAGACUCCUACGGGAGGCAGCAGUGAGGAAUAUUGGACAAUGGGCGCAAGCCUGAUCCAGCCAUGCCGCGUGCAGGAUGACGGUCCUAUGGAUUGUAAACUGCUUUUAUACGGGAAGAAACACUCCGACGUGUCGGAGCUUGACGGUAUCGUAAGAAUAAGGAUCGGCUAACUCCGUGCCAGCAGCCGCGGUAAUACGGAGGAUCCAAGCGUUAUCCGGAAUCAUUGGGUUUAAAGGGUCCGUAGGCGGUUUGGUAAGUCAGUGGUGAAAGCCCAUCGCUCAACGGUGGAACGGCCAUUGAUACUGCCAGACUUGAAUUAUUAGGAAGUAACUAGAAUAUGUAGUGUAGCGGUGAAAUGCUUAGAGAUUACAUGGAAUACCNAUUGCGAAAGGCAGGUACUACUAAUUGAUUGA
rnacentral:rRNA from 1 species